rfam:Papio anubis isolate 1X1155 chromosome 4, whole genome shotgun sequence.
CCAAAGGCCCUUUUUAGGGCCGCCCAAUUUCUUCGUAAAAGAGCGA